AUGAGCAGGUUGAAGGUGCAGUAACAUGCACUGGAGGCCCGAACCGUUGCACGUUGAAAAGUGCUCGGAUGACCUGUGUCUAGGGGUGAAAGGCCAAUCAAACUUGCUGAUAGCUGGUUCUCUGCGAAAUCUAUUUAGGUAGAGCGUUAGAUGAAUACCAUCGGGGGUAGAGCACUGGAUGGGCUAGGGGGUCUCACCGACUUACCAAACCUAACCAAACUCCGAAUACCGAUGAGUAAUAUCUGGCAGACACACUACGGGUGCUAAGGUCCGUAGUGGAAAGGGAAACAGCCCUGACCGCCAGCUAAGGUCCCUAAGUUAUGGCUAAGUGGGAAAGGAUGUGAGAGUGCAUAGACAACCAGGAUGUUGGCUUAGAAGCAGCCAUCAUUUAAAGAAAGCGUAACAGCUCACUGGUCUAAAUAAGGGUUCCUGCGGCGAAAAUGUAACGGGGCUAAAGAUAUGCACCGAAGCUUAGGGUUGCAGUUUACUGCAGCGGUAGCGGAGCGUUCCGUAGGCGAGUGAAGGCGAAGGGUAACCGACGCUGGACGUAUCGGAAGUGCGAAUGCUGACAUGAGUAGCGACAAACAGGGUGAGAUACCCUGUCGCCGAAAGACCAAGGGUUCCUACGCAAUGCUAAUCAGCGUAGGGUGAGCCGGCCCCUAAGACGAGCCCGAAGGGGGUAGUCGAUGGGAACCACGUUAAUAUUCGUGGGCCUGGAGAUGUGUGACGGAUCGCGGAAGUUGUGAGUCCUUAUUGGAUUGGACUUGCAGCCAAGUGGUUCCAGGAAAUAGCCUCUCCAUAUAGACCGUACCCGAAACCGACACAGGUGGUCAGGUAGAGUAUACCAAGG
rnacentral:rRNA from 1 species